rnacentral:rRNA from 1 species
GACGAACGCUGGCGGCGUGCUUAACACAUGCAAGUCGUACGGUAAGGCCCUUUCGGGGGUACACGAGUGGCGAACGGGUGAGUAACACGUGAGUAACCUGCCCACAACUUUGGGAUAACGCUAGGAACCUGGUGCUAAUACUGGAUAUGUGCUCCUUCUGCAUGGUGGGGGUUGGAAAGCUCCGGCGGUUGUGGAUGGACUCGCGGCCUAUCAGCUUGUUGGUGGGGUAGUGGCCUACCAAGGCGGCGACGGGUAGCCGGCCUGAGAGGGUGACCGGCCACAUUGGGACUGAGAGAAGGCCCAGACUGCUACGGGAGGCAGCAGUGGGGAAGAUUGCACAAUGGGCGCAAGCCUGAUGCAGCAGCGCCGCGUGCGGGAUGACGGCCUUCGGGUUGUAAACCGCAUUCAGAAGGGACGAAGCUUUUUGUGACGGUACCUGCAGAAGAAGCACCGGCUAACUACGUG